rnacentral:rRNA from 1 species
AUACGGAGGGUGCAAGCGUUACUCGGAAUCACUGGGCGUAAAGCGCGCGCAGGCGGCUAUUUAAGUUGGAUGUGAAAGCCUAUGGCUCAACCAUAGAACUGCAUCCAAAACUAUUUAGCUAGAGUGUGGGAGAGGAAGAUGGAAUUAGUUGUGUAGGGGUAAAAUCCGUAGAGAUAACUAGGAAUACCAAAAGCGAAGGCAAUCCUCUGGAACACUACUGACGCUGAGGCGCGAAAGCGUGGGGAGCAAACAGGAUUAGAAACCCCAGUAGUCC